rnacentral:rRNA from 1 species
CAGUCGCCGCGGUAAUACGGAGGGUGCAAGCGUUAAUCGGAAUUACUGGGCGUAAAGCGCACGCAGGCGGUCUGUCAAGUCGGAUGUGAAAUCCCCGGGCUCAACCUGGGAACUGCAUCCGAAACUGGCAGGCUAGAGUCUUGUAGAGGGGGGUAGAAUUCCAGGUGUAGCGGUGAAAUGCGUAGAGAUCUGGAGGAAUACCGGUGGCGAAGGCGGCCCCCUGGACAAAGACUGACGCUCAGGUGCGAAAGCGUGGGGAGCAAACAGGAUUAGAUACCCCAGUAGUCCCUGUCUCUUAUAC